AGAGGGAUUGCUGGGUCAUAUGGUAACUAAUCUUAAUUUUUGAGGAAUCUCCAGACUGUUUUCCAUAGUGGCUAUACCAGUUUACAUUCCCACCAGCAGU
rnacentral:pre_miRNA from 2 species